ACUGUACUGAUGAGUCCCAAAAAGGACGAAAUAACAAGUUACAAU
ensembl:ribozyme Hammerhead_1 Hammerhead ribozyme (type I)